rnacentral:rRNA from 1 species
GACGAACGCUGGCGGCGUGCCUAAUACAUGCAAGUCGAACGCAGUGGGGACGGGUGAGUAACACGUGGGUAACCUCCCAUCAGAGGGGAUAAAACUUGGCAACAGGUGCUAAACCGAAAUUGAUGGAUGGACCUGGGGGGCAUUAGCUAGUUGGUGGGGUAACGGCUCACCAAGGCUAAGAUGCAUAGCCGACCUGAGAGGGUGAUCGGCAACACGGGGACUGGUACACGGCCCAGACUCCUACGGGAGGCAGCAGUAGGGAAUCUGCGGCAAUGGACGAAAGUCUGACCGAGCAACGCCGCGUGAGUGAAGAAGGUUUUCGGAUCGUAAAACUCUGUUGUUAGAGAAGCGGUAUCUAACCAGAAAGCCACGGCUAACUACGUGCCAGCAGCCGCGGUAAUAC